CACGUAGGGGGCGAGCGUUGUCCGGAUUCAUUGGGCGUAAAGCGCGCGCAGGCGGCUCGGAAAGUCGGGUGUGAAAACUCGGGGCUCAACCCCGGGCGUGCAUCCGAUACUGCCGGGCUUGAGGCAGGUAGGGGAGAUCGGAAUUCCUGGUGUAGCAGUGAAAUGCGUAGAUAUCAGGAGGAACACCGAUGGCGAAGGCAGGUCUCUGGGCUGACACUGACGCUCAUGCACGAAAGCGUGGGGAGCAAACAGG
rnacentral:rRNA from 1 species